rnacentral:rRNA from 1 species
UAGGGAAUCUUCGGCAAUGGACGAAAGUCUGACCGAGCAACGCCGCGUGAGUGAAGAAGGUUUUCGGAUCGUAAAACUCUGUUGUUAGAGAAGAACAAGGACGUUAGUAACUGAACGUCCCCUGACGGUAUCUAACCAGAAAGCGACGGCUAACUACGUGCCAGCAGCCGCGGUAAUACGUAGGUGGCAAGCGUUGUCCGGAUUUAUUGGGCGUAAAGCGAGCGCAGGCGGUUUCUUAAGUCUGAUGUGAAAGCCCCCGGCUCAACCGGGGAGGGUCAUUGGAAACUGGGAGACUUGAGUGCAGAAGAGGAGAGUGGAAUUCCAUGUGUAGCGGUGAAAUGCGUAGAUAUAUGGAGGAACCCCAGUGGCGAAGGCGGCUCUCUGGUCUGUAACUGACGCUGAGGCUCGAAAGCGUGGGGAGCAAACAGG